rfam:Stegodyphus mimosarum contig33829, whole genome shotgun sequence.
GCUUUCGUGGUGUAGUGGUCAGCACGCUCGACGCGUAACCGAGAGGUCCGUGGUUCGAUUCCCGGCGAUGGAG